UCGAGAAUCAUUCGCAAUGGGCGAAAGCCUGACCCAGCAACGCCGCGUGAAGGAUGAAGUAUUUCGGUAUGUAAACUUCGAAAGAAUAGGAAGAAUAAAUGACGGUACUAUUUAUAAGGUCCGGCUAACUACGUGCCAGCAGCCGCGGUAAUACGUAGGGACCAAGCGUUGUUCGGAUUUACUGGGCGUAAAGGGCGCGUAGGCGGCAAUUCAAGUCAUCUGUGAAAUCUCCGGGCUUAACUCGGAACGGUCAGAUGAUACUGCUUUGCUAGAGUGCAGAAGGGGCAAUCGGAAUUCUUGGUGUAGCGGUGAAAUGCGUAGAUAUCAAGAGGAACACCUGAGGCGAAGGCGGGUUGCUGGGCUGAUACUGACGCUGAGGCGCGAAAGCUAGGGUAGCAAACGGGAUUAGAUACCCAAGUAGUCCCUGAGCGGGCUGGCAAGGCGCAU
rnacentral:rRNA from 1 species